AUGACCUUCCAAGUUUUUAAAGAAUACGAUGAUAUUAUUUGCGUUUUUAAUCGAACAAUUCUUCUUGUGAUCUUUUUCACGAGGUUUUAAUGGAGAAGGCGGUUCCUGCGCAGAAAAUUAAUCUUGUUACAUUCUUUGAAUGAUUUAUAGGACGCCAUAUUAGAAAAUUCUGAUUCUU
rnacentral:snoRNA from 1 species